UACCAGCUCUCCGAGUGGUAGGGAUGAUUAUUGGGCUUAAAGCGUCCGUAGCCGGCUUAGCAAGUUUCCUGUUAAACCCAGCGACUCAAUCGUUGGAUCGCGGGAAAUACUACUAGGCUAGGAGGCGGGAGAGGUCAACGGUACUUCUGGGGUAGGGGUGAAAUCCUAUAAUCCCGGGAGGACCACCGGUGGCGAAGGCUGUUGACUAGAACGCGCUCGACGGUGAGGGACGAAAGCUGGGGUAGCAAACCGGAUUAGAUACCCGGGUAGUCCCAGCUGUAAACGAUGCGAGCUAGGUGUUGGGAUGGCUACGGGCCAUUUCAGUGCCGCAGGGAAGCCAUUAAGCUCGCCGCCUGGGGAUACGGCCGCAAGGCUGAAACUUAAAGGAAUUGGCGGGGAGCACCACAAGGCGUGAAGCUUGCGGUUC
rnacentral:rRNA from 1 species